CACGGAGUUAGCCGAUGCUUUUUCUUCGGAUACACGCAGUCCGGGACACGUCCCGGGUUUUGUUCUCCGACAAAAGAGGUUUACAACCCAUAGGGCCGUCUUCCCUCACGCGGCUUGGCUGGUUCAGGAUCUCUCCCAUUGACCAAUAUUCCCCACUGCUGCCUCCCGUAGGAGUCUGGUCCGUGUCUCAGUACCAGUGUGGGGGACCUUCCUCUCAGAACCCCUACGCAUCGUCGCCACGGUGGGCCGUUACCCCGCCGUCAAGCUAAUGCGCCGCAUGCCCAUCCUCUUCCGAUGAAUCUUUCCUCGAUCUCGGAUGCCCGAAACCGAUAUACGCGGGAUUAGCCUCCCUUUCGGAAGGUUGUCCCCCUGAAGAGGGCAGGUUGCAUACGUGUUACUCACCCGUGCGCCGGUCGCCGGCAAGGAAAGCAAGCUUCCCUCCCGAUGCCCCUCGACUUGCAUGUGUUAAGCCUGCCGCUAGCGUUCAUCCUGAGCCAGGAUCAAACUCU
rnacentral:rRNA from 1 species